rnacentral:rRNA from 1 species
AUGGAUACAAUUGAACUACCUGAACUGAUUGCGACAACAUGCUGGUAUCUUUGGUGGCAACGUCGGCAAUAUGUCCGAGGAGAAGAAGUGCAACCACCUCACCGUACAGCCCUGGCGAUCCAUGCGCUGACAUUGAAUUUUGUAAGAGCUGUAGGAAAGCAACCUGCUACACCACGUCUGAAUGACUGGGGCAAAAAACUGUCAGGACAGAUUGUUUUGAAUGUUGACGCAUCUUUCUUAGAUGAAGAUCACUCGGGUGCGUGUGGCGCGGUUGUCCGAGAUCAUCGAGGAGGUUUCAUUGGUGCAUCUACAACUGCUUUGGCAUAUGUUGCUGAUGUAGUCUCGGCAGAAGCGGCCUCUUUACUCGAGGGACUCAAGCUUCUGCAAAGAAUUGGGUGUACUAAUUUUGUGGUGCAGAUGGACAAUAUUGUGGUGGUGAAUUCUCCGAUUCGGAAUGAAGGACACUCGAUGGUGGCGGCUCCGGUUCUAGAUGGCUGUCGUAAUAUGUUGGCGGAUUUCGGGAAGGUUACUAUAGAACAUUGUAAUAAAGAAUCUAAUAUGGUAGCGCAUGUCUUAGCUCAAUGGGGACGUUCUAACCCUCCGUCUUUGUGGUUGGAAGAGCCUCCCGUUUUUAUUGCUAGUUCACUAGCAGAUGAUGUGACUGUUAUUUAA